AUACUUACCUGGCACGGGAAACACCAUGAUCAGGAAAGUGGUUUUCCCAGGGCAAGGCUUAUCCCUGUACUCUGGGUGUGCUGACCCCUGUGAUUUCCCCAAAUACAGGAAACUUGACUGCAUAAUUUGUGCUAGUGGGGGACUGUGUUUGUGUUCUAA
rfam:Egretta garzetta contig67821, whole genome shotgun sequence.